rnacentral:rRNA from 1 species
AUUGAACGCUAGUGGUAUGCUUAACACAUGCAAGUCGAACGGCAGCGCGAGGAGCUUGCUCCUUGGCGGCGAGUGGCGGACGGGUGAGUAAUGCAUAGGAAUUUGCCUUAAAGAAGGGGAUAACCUAGGGAAACUUAGGCUAAUACCGUAUAAGCUCUACGGAGUAAAGUUGGGGACCUUCGGGCCUGACGCUUUAAGAUAAGCCUAUGUCGGAUUAGCUUGUUGGUGAGGUAAUGGCUCACCAAGGCUACGAUCCGUAGCUGGUCUGAGAGGAUGAUCAGCCACACUGGGACUGAGAUACGGCCCAGACUCCUACGGGAGGCAGCAGUGGGGAAUAUUGGACAAUGGGCGAAAGCCUGAUCCAGCAAUACCACGUGUGUGAAGAAGGCCUUAGGGUUGUGAAGCACUUUCAGCGAGGAAGAAAUGCUCAGAGUUAAUAGCUCUGAGAGCUGACAUUACUCGCAAAAGAAGCACCGGCUAACUCUGUGCCAGCAGCCGCGGUAAUACAGAGGGUGCGAGCGUUAAUCGGAAUUACUGGGCGUAAAGCGCACGUAGGUGGAUAUUUAAGUCAGAUGUGAAAUCCCCGGGCUCAACCUGGGAACUGCGUUUGAUACUGGGUAUCUAGAGUGUGGUAGAGGGAAGUGGAAUUUCCGGUGUAGCGGUGAAAUGCGUAGAUAUCGGAAGGAACACCAGUGGCGAAGGCGGCUUCCUGGACCAUUACUGACACUGAGGUGCGAAAGCGUGGGUAGCGAACAGGAUUAGAUACCCUGGUAGUCCACGCCGUAAACGAUGAGAACUGGGUGUUAGGAUUUAUUCUAGUGCCGAAGCUAACGCAUUAAGUUCUCCGCCUGGGGAGUACGACCGCAAGGUUAAAACCCAAAGGAAUUGACGGGGGCCCGCACAAGCGGUGGAGCAUGUGGUUUAAUUCGAUGCAACGCGACGAACCUUACCUACUCUUGACAUCCUCAGAAUCCUCUAGAGAUAGAGGAGUGCCUUCGGGAACUGAGUGACAGGUGCUGCAUGGCUGUCGUCAGCUCGUGUCGUGAGAUGUUGGGUUAAGUCCCAUAACGAGCGCAACCCCUAUCCUUUGUUGCCAGCGCGUAAUGGCGGGAACUCUAAGGAGACUGUCGGUGCAAGCCGAAGGAAGGUGGGGACGAUGUCAAGUCAUCAUGGCCUUUAUGAGUAGGGCUACACACAUGCUACAAUGGAUAGUACAGAGGGUUGCCAAACCGUGAGGUGGAGCUAAUCCCACAAAGCUAUUCUCAGUCCGGAUUGAAGUCUGCAACUCGACUUCAUGAAGUCGGAAUCGCUAGUAAUCGCGAAUCAGAAUGUCGCGGUGAAUACGUUCCCGGGCCUUGUACACACCGCCCGUCAAGCCAUGGAAGUGGACUGUACCAGAAGUAAGUAGAUUAACCCGCAAGGGAGGUCGCUUACCACGGUGUGGUUCAUAACUGGGGCU